AUGGAGUUGGUGGUAGGUGCUUCGGAUGCCACUAUGAAAAUUCUACUGGGCAAGCUGGGCGGCCUGCUAGCCCAGGAGUAUGCUCUGAUCAGGGGCGUGCGCGAUGACAUCCAGUACAUCAACGACGAGCUCGCCAGUAUGCAGGCCUUCCUCCGCGACCUCAGCGCUUCGCCGGACGACCAAGACAACCGGAUGAAGGACUGGAUGAAGCAGAUCCGCGACGUCGGGUACGACGUUGAAGAUUGCAUCGACGACUUCACCCACCGCCUCCCACACGAUUCCAUGAACGAAGCCAGAUGUUUCUUCGUAGUCAUGAGAAUCUAUGAACUCCGGACCUGGUGGCAUCGCCGUGACAUCACGGUCAAAAUUGCUGCCCUCAAGGUCCGGGCCCAACAGAUUGCAGAACGACGCAACAGAUAUGGAGUGGACAACCCAAGCAAAUGUACUGGCAGCAGCUCAUCUGGAGUCCGUGACGCUACGGAGGUAAUCGCUGAGUAUCAGCUAGCAAGCCGUCAGCUAAUUGGUACGAAGGAGCCCGUGGGGAUGAGGAAAGACAUGGAGAAGCUUGAGCAGUGGGUAAAUGGACCUGACAUUGAGCCAGCUGUUUUGUCCAUAGUCGGAUUUGGCGGUGUGGGGAAGACUACUAUUGCGACUGCUUUGUACCAAAAGCUCCAGAAUCAAUUUGUGUAUCGAGCAUCGGUCACUGUGUCUCAGAACUAUGACAAAGAUGCAGUCCUCAAGAGUAUUCUCAACCAAGUCAGGCAACAGGACCGCGAUUACGAGCAGCAAGGCAGCAGCAGCAGCAGCAGCAGCACUGGGAGUUCCGAAAAGAAGAGCCUGGCGGAAAAAAUUAAAAGCACAUUGAAGCUACUUUUUCCACUUCGUAGACAACAGCGGCAGAACGAUGGAAGCUCUGAUGCGAAGCAGAUCAAGAUGGAAACAAUGAGCCAUGAUCAAGUCAGCGAAGAACUGAAAAAACGUCUGGCUAGUAAAAGGUAUCUCCUCUUUAUUGAUGACAUAUGGUCUGCGAAAACAUGGGACAGUAUCAAAAUUUGUUUGCCUGCUGAAAAUGUAGAAGGCAGUAGAAUAAUCGUGACUACAAGAUUUCAAGUUGUUGGCGAGACAUGCUGCCCAAGAUAUGGACGUGAUCUUCUGCACACAGUCGAUAUUCUCGGUGGUAAUGACCCCAAAACAUUAUUCCAUGAAAGUGUUUCUGAAUGCAAAAGCAGGAAAGGCAGCGAUAGAGUACAGGUGGACGUCCCUGAGGAGAUAUGGAAAAUAUGCGGCGGACUGCCUUUGGCCAUUGUGACCAUAUCUGGUCUUGUUGCCUGCAACCCAAGAAAAUCCAAGGACGAUUGGAGAAAAGUUUGUGACAAAUUAUUUUCAGAGCCAGUGGCUUCUCUUACCCUAACUGGGGUAACAAGAAUACUCGAUCAUUGCUACAAUGAUUUGCCAGCAGACCUCAAGACCUGCUCACUUUAUUUGAGCAUAUUUCCGAAGGGUGGGAAAAUCAGGAUGAAACGUUUGACCCGCCGAUGGAUAGCAGAAGGUUUCGCUAGCGAGAAGCAAGGGCUCACUGAGGAGGAAGUUGCAGAAACAUACUUUAAUCAGCUAAUAAGAAGGAAGAUAAUACGGCCUGUGGAACACAGCAGCAAUGGGAAGGUAAAAACCUUCCAAGUGCAUGAUAUGGUUCUUGAAUAUAUCGUGUUGAAGGCAAGGGAAGAGAAUUUUAUCACUGUGGUUGGUGGCCACUGGUUGUUGCCAGCGCCUAGCAAUAAAGUGCGUCGGCUUUCCAUACAAAGCAGUGGUUCCAAGCCUAUAAAUUCUACCAGAGGCAUGAACUUAUCUCAGGUGCGAUCAGUGACCGUAUUUGGGAGCCUACACCAACUGCCUUUUCAGUGUUUCAAUGAUGCAAUAAUACAGGUCCUCGAUCUUGAGGGUUGGACUGGUUUGAAGGAGAAACAUCUCAAAGACAUAUGUAAAAUGCUUGUACUCAAGUAUUUGGGCCUCCGAAGAACAGGGAUUACCAAACUUCCAUCCAACAUUGGGAAACUCGAGUAUUUGGAGACUCUUGACAUAAGGCAGACGAAGGUCUGGGAGCUGCCAAAAACUGUAGGCAGGCUCAAACGGAUCAGUAGCAUACUUGGUGGUGAAAAAAACACAUGCAAGGGGUUUAAGUUACCUCAAGAAAAGAGCAAGGAUCCAAUGAAAUACAAGGAGACAAUGAAGGCACUUCGUAUACUGUCAGGCAUUGAGAUCGUUGAGGAUUCAACAGCUGUAGCUGGCCUUCAUCAGUUGACGAGUCUAAGAAAGCUUUCCAUUUACAAGCUCAAAAUUCAGAAAAAUGGUAAAACAUUCAGAGAAUUGCGCUCUGCUAUUGAGUAUCUUGGCAGCUGCGGUCUGCAGACUCUGGCAAUCAAUGAUGAGGGGUCUGAUUUUAUUAACUCACUAUACUCCAUGUCCGCUCCACCUAGGUACCUCACAGCCCUUGAGCUAUCUGGCAAUAAAUUGGAAAGGCUACCUCAAUGGAUCAUCAAACUCACUACCCUCAGCAAGUUAACACUUUCCGUGACAGUCCUUCGGGCAACUACAUUCGACCUCCUCCGCUGGCUGCCUAUGUUAUUCUCCCUCACCUUUUCACUUCAUGCAGUGAAGCAGAAUCAGCAAGUGGAGGAGAUCCUCAAGAAGAACAUGUCGGAGUCCGACGGAGAGAUCUUUGUUCCAGGCCAAGGAUUCCCGAGUCUUAAGUUGCUUCGUUUCCGUGCACCUUUCAUUCCAAAGCUGAGCUUUUCAGUGUAUGCAAUGCCAGCACUUGAAAGGAUCGAGACGUUUUGUCAAUCCUUCGAAGGCCUUUUCGGCAUUGAUGCCCUUAAAAGUCUCCAGGAGGUGCAUCUCAAAUUAAGUGAUCAAGCUGAUGAUGCGACCAAGUUCCUUGUAGAUUAUUUGAAGGCCAACACCAAGGGAGCUCAUGUAAUCAUCGAUCAUUUAGCACCUGCUUGA
rnacentral:rRNA from 1 species